rnacentral:rRNA from 1 species
AACUACAAACGGUGGAUCUCUUGGCUCUCGCAUCGAUGAAGAACGCAGC